CGGGUGUCCCCUGCGCUGGCCGACCGCCGGACGGCUGCGGACACAGGAAAAUGGCUUGAAUCCCGACUCCUUCACUGACUCGCUGUAAGAUCCUGUGGCUGCUGAGCCUCAAUUUUCUCCGUUGUACAAUGCAGACCUAGUCUGCAGAGCUGUUGCAUGCAGGUGGAGUUCCAUAGAUGCAGACUUGUGCCCAAGCGGAAGAGAAUGGAGGCCUCUACGGAGCUUCUUCGGGGUCUCUAGAACGUGCAGCUUGGCUCUUGGCCAACCCGCACUCCCUUGGAAACCCGGUGGAGAGGAUGUGGCAAAGCCAGGCUCCAAGCUGGCCCAGGGAUUAGGCCACUGUGUUCAGGGAUGGGCUUUCUGCUGCCUGCCAGGUCCCAGGCUCCCUCUUCCCUGGAUGGAGCUGGGGAACCCUGCCAAAUUCUCGCUCCAACCUUCCAACAUUCGUUUAUUCAGUGAAUAUUUAUCGAUGCCCGCUGGGGACUUUGGUGGCACUGGAAACAGAGUCGUGCUCAGGCUUGAAAUAGGGAGACCAAGGACUUUUUGUGCAAUCUCAACCGAAUGUGAUAACUACACUGGCGCCUCCCUGCAGCUGCCUUGGCCCCUCUCCAGGCUGCUCUGGGGCCUCGGAAACCCUGACCUGUUCCUGGUUCUCUAGAGGUCGUAGGAAAAACACCCACCCCUCACCCUGGUCUACAGGGUAGUCUUUUGUUGUUGUUGUUUUUAAGAUUUUAUUUAUUUAUUU